rnacentral:rRNA from 1 species
GGGGAAUAUUGCACAAUGGGCGAAAGCCUGAUGCAGCAACGCCGCGUGGGUGAUGAAGGCCUUCGGGUCGUAAAGCCCUGUCGGGAGGGAAGAAAUGAUUGAGAGCUAAUACCUCUUGGUCUUGACGGUACCUCCGAAGGAAGCACCGGCUAACUCCGUGCCAGCAGCCGCGGUAAUACGGAGGGUGCAAGCGUUGUUCGGAAUUAUUGGGCGUAAAGCGCGUGUAGGCGGUCUUUUAAGUCUGAUGUGAAAGCCCCGGGCUCAACCUGGGAAGUGCAUUGGAAACUGGGAGACUUGAGUACGGGAGAGGAGAGUGGAAUUCCUAGUGUAGGAGUGAAAUCCGUAGAUAUUAGGAGGAACACCGGUGGCGAAGGCGGCUCUCUGGGCCGAUACUGACGCUGAGACGCGAAAGCGUGGGUAGCAAAC